CCUACGGGAGGCAGCAGUAACGAAUCUUCCGCAAUGCACGAAAGUGUGACGGAGCGACGCCGCGUGUAGGACGAAGCCCUUCGGGGUGUAAACUACUGUCAGGGGUUAGAAAGUUCUGAUCAACCCCAGAGGAAGGCACGGCUAACUCUGUGCCAGCAGCCGCGGUAAGACAGAGGUGCCAAGCGUUAGGCGGAAUCACUGGGCUUAAAGCGUGUGUAGGCGGAUUUGUAAGUACCUUGUGAAAUCCCACGGCUCAACCGUGGAACUGCUUGGUAUACUGCUUAUCUUGAGCCACUUAGGGGCUACCGGAACAAAUGGUGGAGCGGUGAAAUGCGUAGAUAUCAUUUGGAACGCCAAUGGUGAAAACAGGUAGCUGGGAGUGUGCUGACGCUGAGACACGAAAGCCAGGGGAGCGAACGGGAUUAGAUACCCCGGUAGUCCUGGCCGUAAACGAUGUCGACUAGAUCGUGGCAGCUCUGACGUUGUCAUGGUCGAAGCAAAAGUGCUAAGUCGACCGCCUGGGAAGUACGGUCGCAAGGCUAAAACUCAAAGGAAUUGACGGGGGCUCACACAAGCGGUGGAGCAUGUGGUUCAAUUCGAAGCAACGCGCAGAACCUUACCUGGGCUUGACAUGCUAGGAUUAUCCCUAUGAAAGUAGGGUAGGCCCUUCGGGGUACAACUAGUACAGGUGCUGCAUGGCUGUCGUCAGCUCGUGUCGUGAGAUGUCGGGUUAAGUCCCUUAACGAGCGAAACCUUUGCCCUUAGUUACCAUCGGGUUAUGCCGGGGACUCUAAAGGGACUGCCGGUGUCAAACCGGAGGAGGUGGAGAUGACGUCAAGUCCUCAUGGCUUUAUGCCCAGGGCCACACACGUGCUACAAUGGCGUCCACAAAGCGAACCGAGAGCGCAAGCUGGAAGAAAUCGCACAAUGACCCCCCAGUUCAAAUUGGAGCUGCAACUCGCCUCCAUGAAGUGGAAUCCGCUAGUAAUCGCGGAUCAGCUACGCCGCGGGGGAAUACCGUCCAGG
rnacentral:rRNA from 1 species